GACUGGAAAUUGGUUGGUGUAGUUUCGGAUUAUGAUUUGUUAGCACUGGACUCCAUAUCAGGUAGUGGACAUACAGAUACAGGCAUUUUCCCCGAGGCCGAUAGCACCUGGAAAACGUUUAACGAGAUACAGACGCUGUUGAGUAAAACCAAUGGCAAACUGGUUAGCGAGGUGAUGACGCCUGCCCCGCUUGUUGUUCGAGAAACAACCAACCUCGAAGAUGCAG
rnacentral:misc_RNA from 1 species